rnacentral:rRNA from 1 species
AACGCACAUAUGCUGGAAUGCUUUAUGCGUAAAAUGGAUUCGUCUGCCCAAGGAUGGGUCUGCGGCCUAUCAGGUAGUAGUGGGUGUAAUGUACCUACUAGCCAACAACGGGUACGGGUUGCGAGAGCAAGAGCCCGGAGAUGGAUUCUGAGACAUGAAUCCAGGCCCUACGGGGCGCAGCAGGCGCGAAAACUUUACAAUGCGGGAAACCGUGAUAAGGGGACACCGAGUGCCAGCGUCAUACGCUGGCUGUCCAGGUGUGUAAAAUACACCUGUUAGCAAGGGCCGGGCAAGACCGGUGCCAGCCGCCGCGGUAACACCGGCGGCCCGAGUGGUGAUCGUGAUUAUUGGGUCUAAAGGGUCCGUAGCCGGUUUGGUCAGUCCUCCGGGAAAUCUGAUAGCUCAACUAUUAGGCUUUCGGGGGAUACUGCCAGGCUUGGAACCGGGAGAGGUAAGAGGUACUACAGGGGUAGGAGUGAAAUCUUGUAAUCCCUGUGGGACCACCUGUGGCGAAGGCGUCUUACCAGAACGGGUUCGACGGUGAGGGACGAAAGCUGGGGGCACGAACCGGAUUAGAUACCCGGGUAGUCCCAGCCGUAAACGAUGCUCGCUAGGUGUCAGGCAUGGCGCGACCGUGUCUGGUGCC